rnacentral:rRNA from 1 species
CCUACGGGCGGCUGCAGUGGGGAAUAUUGGACAAUGGGGGCAACCCUGAUCCAGCCAUGCCGCGUGUGUGAAGAAGGCCCUCGGGUUGUAAAGCACUUUCAGUGAGGAAGAACGCCUGGUGGUUAAUACCCAUCAGGAAAGACAUCACUCACAGAAGAAGCACCGGCUAACUCCGUGCCAGCAGCCGCGGUAAUACGGAGGGUGCGAGCGUUAAUCGGAAUUACUGGGCGUAAAGCGCGCGUAGGUGGCUUGAUAAGCCGGUUGUGAAAGCCCCGGGCUCAACCUGGGAACGGCAUCCGGAACUGUCAAGCUAGAGUGCAGGAGAGGAAGGUAGAAUUCCCGGUGUAGCGGUGAAAUGCGUAGAGAUCGGGAGGAAUACCAGUGGCGAAGGCGGCCUUCUGGACUGACACUGACACUGAGGUGCGAGAGCGUGGGUAGCAAACAGGAUUAGAUACCCUUGUAGUC